UACGUAGGGUGCGAGCGUUGUCCGGAAUUAUUGGGCGUAAAGGGCUCGUAGGCGGUUUGUCGCGUCGGGAGUGAAAACCAGGUGCUUAACACCUGGCUUGCUUUCGAUACGGGCAGACUAGAGGCAUGCAGGGGAGAACGGAAUUCCUGGUGUAGCGGUGAAAUGCGCAGAUAUCAGGAGGAACACCUGCGGCGAAGGCGGGUUGCUGGGCUGACACUGACGCUGAUGCGCGAAAGCCAGGGGAGCGAACGGG
rnacentral:rRNA from 1 species